rnacentral:misc_RNA from 1 species
GAUUCCUCGGGGCGGUAGUACCAGCGGACCCGCACCCGCACGUUGCUCCGGUGAUCCGCCUCCAUCUUCUCCACCCGCGCCACGUACGGCGGCUUGUCGGAGUCGGACGGCCGCAUCAGCACGCAAUCCCCAACUUUGACGAGCUUGUUCGUGCCCUUGAUGGUGUAGGAAUCGAUGUCCUUCUUCCCGGGCUUCGUCUUCGCCAUCGAGAUCGGGGGAUUUGGAUCGCAGAUCGGGGGAUUUGAGGGUGAGGAGUGGAGAUUUUGGGAACCCUAGGUUGGAAUUGGGGACGGGGACCAGAACUGGCAGAGCAACGGAUA